GGGUGAGGGUAAAUUAUUGGCAUAUGUUCAUUUUUGGAUGAACUAUUUCUUAAAAAUUCCCAUUUAAUGUGUAGAGUCACUUAUCAGUGA